rnacentral:rRNA from 1 species
UUAAAUUGAAGAGUUUGAUCAUGGCUCAGAUUGAACGCUGGCGGCAGGCCUAACACAUGCAAGUCGAACGGUAACAGGAAGCAGCUUGCUGCUUUGCUGACGAGUGGCGGACGGGUGAGUAAUGUCUGGGAAACUGCCUGAUGGAGGGGGAUAACUACUGGAAACGGUGGCUAAUACCGCAUAACGUCGCAAGACCAAAGAGGGGGACCUUCGGGCCUCUUGCCAUCAGAUGUGCCCAGAUGGGAUUAGCUAGUUGGUGAGGUAACGGCUCACCAAGGCGACGAUCCCUAGCUGGUCUGAGAGGAUGACCAGCCACACUGGAACUGAGACACGGUCCAGACUCCUACGGGAG